rnacentral:rRNA from 1 species
AGCUCCAAUAGCGUAUAUUAAAGUUGUUGCAGUUAAAAAGCUCGUAGUUGGAUUUGGGACGGGAAAGGAGCGGUCGGCCGCAAGGUUCUGUUACUGCUUCUUUUCGUCAUUUCAUUUCUCGAAGGCCUGUCGUGUACUUCGCUGUGCGCGGCACGGAACUCGGGACGUUUACUUUGAAAAAAUUAGAGUGUUCAAAGCAGGCUCUUACAGCCGGAAUACAUGAGCAUGGAAUAAUGGAAUAGGACGGCGGUUCUAUUUUGUUGGUUUCUACAACCGCAGUAAUGAUUAAGAGGGACAAUUGGGGGCGUCCGUAUUUCGUUGUCAGAGGUGAAAUUCUUGGAUUUACGAAAGACGAACAACUGCGAAAGCAUUCGCCAAGAGUGUUUUCAUUAAUCAAGAA